AUGAAACUGACACCUCUAUCUGAAUUCAGUGGCCACCUCCACAGAGAAAAGCACAGAGCCUGGGAAGAUACAUACACAUCUAAGGAGAGAGAGCUCAUCCUGGGCAGCCUCAGCAAAGCCUUCUCUGCUCUUCAGGACCUUCACAGCUACAUUCUUCUUCUUCCUACAAAAGGAACCACAGCUCUACAUCAUGCAGAACACGCUGACUUGCUGCAGGCUUGGACCAGGUCAGAGAACUUCCGCCCAAAAAUGGACUGGUCCCUGUUAGCUACAGUAGGGAGCAGUGAUGCUUCACCUUGCCUGCUUAGAAGGGUGCAAGGAGCCGCCCCACCACUUGCUAUGCACCCCAGUGCCUGGACCUGUGGAGUUGGAGUAUUUAGCACAGUGAUACGUGCCUUCAUCUUCAUCCAGCACAGACGUGUACAAAGCAGACCCCAAACCUGCCAUUCAAGAACAUCAUCUUUCUGA
rnacentral:lncRNA from 1 species